AUGCCGCGCGAGAUCAUCACGAUACAGGUGGGGCAAUGCGGGAACCAGAUCGGGAUGGAGUUCUGGAAGCAGCUCUGCCUCGAGCACGGCAUCGGCAAGGACGGACUCCUCGAGGACUUCGCCACGCAGGGAGGAGACAGGAAGGAUGUUUUUUUCUACCAGGCGGAUGAUCAGCACUACAUACCCAGGGCUCUUCUUAUGGAUCUAGAACCAAGAGUGAUCAAUGGAAUACAGAACAGCGAGUACAAGAACCUAUUCAACCACGAGAAUAUAUAUUUGUCUGAGCAUGGUGGUGGUGCCGGAAACAAUUGGGCUAGCGGAUAUCAUCAGGGCGAACAAGUCGUUGAUGAUAUCAUGGACAUGGUAGAUCGAGAAGCAGAUGGAAGUGAUAGCCUCGAGGGUUUUGUUUUAUGCCACUCCAUUGCUGGUGGAACUGGUUCAGGUAUGGGUUCUUAUGUGCUGGAGACCCUAAAUGAUCGAUACAGUAAGAAGCUUGUACAGACAUAUAGUGUCUUUCCAAACCAGAUGGAAACGAGUGAUGUUGUUGUCCAACCAUACAACUCCCUUUUAACUCUGAAGCGGCUGACACUGAAUGCUGACUGUGUGGUUGUUCUUGACAAUACGGCUCUUAACAGAAUUGCCGUUGAACGUCUUCAUUUAGCAAAUCCUACUUUUGCACAAACAAACUCUUUGGUUUCCACUGUUAUGUCUGCAAGCACAACCACCUUGAGGUAUCCUGGAUAUAUGAAUAAUGAUCUGGCUGGCCUUCUCGCCUCCUUGAUUCCUACUCCAAGGUGCCAUUUUCUUAUGACAGGUUAUACUCCAUUGACCGUUGAACGACAGGUUAACAUGAUACGCAAGACGACAGUAUUAGAUGUUAUGAGACGACUUCUGCAGACAAAGAACAUAAUGGUGUCAUCUUACGCUCGUACCAAGGAAGCUAGUCAGGCUAAAUACAUCUCCAUACUUAACAUCAUUCAAGGAGAGGUGGACCCAACACAGGUCCAUGAGAGCCUACAAAGGAUACGUGAAAGGAAGCUUGUUAACUUCGUAGAGUGGGGACCUGCAAGCAUUCAGGUUGCAUUGUCAAGAAAAUCACCAUAUGUUCAAACCACCCACAGGGUUAGUGGUUUGAUGUUAGCAAAUCAUACUAGCAUCCGUCACUUAUUCAGCAAAUGUCUGGGGCAGUAUGAAAAGCUGAGGAAAAAGCAAGCCUUUCUUGACAACUACAGGAAGUUCCCGAUGUUUGCGGACAAUGAUCUCUCUGAAUUUGAUGAAUCUCGAGAAAUUAUAGAGGGUCUGGUUGAUGAAUACAAGGCUUGCGAAUCACCUGACUACAUCAAAUGGGGGAUGGAGGACCUUGGAGAUGCAAAUGUUGCGGCCGCACUUGAGUCGAAGUUAGUUGUGUAA
rnacentral:rRNA from 1 species